rnacentral:tRNA from 1 species
GCCUCCUUAGCUCACUUGGUAGAGCGUCUCACUUGUAAUGAGAAGGUAGCCGGUUCGAUCCCGGCAGGGGGCUCCA